GCAUGGCUGAAUACUGUGUUCUUUUGAUCAGUAGUUUACACAGCCAGACACCAUGCAAAAGUAAAGUUUUCUCUCUGCAGUGACUUUGGUAUGCUAAGAUUUGUGUGGCAUGUCAUCUGUUAGAAGUAGAUACAAAU
rnacentral:snoRNA from 12 species